rnacentral:lncRNA from 1 species
CCGAGUGCACCAGGGGAAGUGAUCAACAAUUGGACAGCAGAAGAUGUAGUCCAAGUUACUCUUCAAAUAGAGUAAUUUUCUUUUGUUUUUUCAUUCUGCACAAAACCCUACGUUCUGCCCAAGGCGUAGUGGUUCAUUGUAGGGCCUCAUGUUUUCAAUGAUCAUCAUUAAUAAAGGACGUUUUGCAAACAAUUUUGUGAUCCCUGUCUUUCUAUUUUUGUUUUCAUUUUCCAAAAAAAAAUAAAAAUGGCAAUGUUUUUGUUUUUG